UACGUAGGGUGCAAGCGUUAAUCGGAAUUACUGGGCGUAAAGCGUGCGCAGGCGGCUCGGAAAGUCGGGCGUGAAAUGCCGGGGCUCAACCCCGGGACUGCGUCCGAUACUUCCGAGCUGGAGGUAGGUAGGGGAGAUCGGAAUUCCUGGUGUAGCGGUGAAAUGCGCAGAUAUCAGGAGGAACACCGGUGGCGAAGGCGGAUCUCUGGGCCUUACCUGACGCUGAGGCGCGAAAGCUAGGGGAGCGAACAGG
rnacentral:rRNA from 1 species